rnacentral:rRNA from 1 species
GAUGAACGCUAGCUACAGGCCUAACACAUGCAAGUCGAGGGACCGGCGCACGGGUGAGUAACACGUAUCCAACCUGCCAUUUACUCGCGGAUAGCCUUUCGAAAGAAAGAUUAAUACCCGAUAUAAAGGAUGGGGAUGCGUUCCAUUAGGUUGUUGGGAAGGUAUCGGCUCACCAAGGCUUCGAUGGAUAGGGGUUCUGAGAGGAGGGUCCCCCACGACGGAACUAAGACACGGACCAAACGCAGACGCGAGACAGCGGUAAGGAAUAUUAGUAAAUGAACGCUAGCCUGAACCAGCCAAGUAAGGUGAAGGAUGAAUGCUUAUGGAUCGUAAGCUUCUUGUGUAUAAGAAUCUGUAUUAAAUGAAUAAGGAACGGCUAACUCCGUGCCAGCAGCCGCGGUAAUAC